GGACGAACGCUGGCGGCGUGCUUAACACAUGCAAGUCUAGGGGGCCCGCAAGGGUCACCGGCGAACGGGUGCGUAACACGUGAGCGACCUACCCUGGAAUGGGGGAUAGCCGGCCCAACGGCCGGGUAAUACCGCAUACGCUCUUCGAGCUGCAUGGCUUGGAGAGGAAACCUUUUGGGUUCCUGGAGGGGCUCGCGGCCUAUCAGCUAGUUGGUGAGGUAACGGCUCACCAAGGCAAUGACGGGUAGCUGGUCUGAGAGGAUGGCCAGCCACAUUGGGACUGAGAAACGGCCCAGACUCCUACGGGAGGCAGCAGUGGGGAAUAUUGCGCAAUGGUCGAAAGACUGACGCAGCGACGCCGCGUGGAGGAUGACGCCCUUCGGGGUGUAAACUCCUGUUGCUCGGGACGAACCUCCCCAUUCGUGGGGACUGACGGUACCGGGUGAGGAAGCACCGGCUAACUCUGUGCCAGCAGCCGCGGUAAUACAGAGGGUGCGAGCGUUGUCCGGAAUCACUGGGCGUAAAGGGCGCGUAGGCGGCUUGGUAAGCGUGCGGUGAAAGCUCGGGGCUCAACCCCGAGUCUGCCGUGCGAACUGCCGAGCUGGAGCACGGUAGAGGCACAUGGAAUUCCGGGUGUAGCGGUGGAAUGCGUAGAGAUCCGGAAGAACACCGGUGGCGAAGGCGGUGUGCUGGGCCGUAGCUGACGCUGAGGCGCGACAGCGUGGGGAGCAAACAGGAUUAGAUACCCUGGUAGUCCACGCCGUAAACGAUGGGCACUAGGCCCUUGGGGGAGCGACCCCCUGAGGACCGGCGCAAAUGCAUUAAGUGCCCCGCCUGGGGAGUACGGCCGCAAGGCUGAAACUCAAAGGAAUUGACGGGGGCCCGCACAAGCGGUGGAGCAUGUGGUUUAAUUCGACGCAACGCGAAGAACCUUACCUGGGCUUGACAUGGCCGGGAAUGGCCGGGGAAACCUGGUCAGCUCUUCGGAGCUCGGUCACAGGUGCUGCAUGGCUGUCGUCAGCUCGUGUCGUGAGAUGUUGGGUUAAGUCCCGCAACAAGCGCAACCCUUAUCAUUAGUUGCCAUCAUUUAGUUGGGCACUCUAAUGAGACUGCCGGUGACAAACCGGAGGAAGGUGGGGAUGACGUCAAGUCCUCAUGGCCCUUAUGGGUAGGGCUUCACACGUCAUACAAUGGUCGGUACAGAGGGUUGCCAACCCGCGAGGGGGAGCUAAUCUCACAAAGCCGAUCGUAGUCCGGAUCGCAGUCUGCAACUCGACUGCGUGAAGUCGGAAUCGCUAGUAAUCGUGGAUCAGCAUGUCACGGUGAAUACGUUCCCGGGUC
rnacentral:rRNA from 1 species